ACGAGACUCUCUUCUAGUUAAAUCCUAUGAAGGAACAACUUAUUAACACGAGAAUGUCACUGUGGUUCAAGCAAUGCAAUAAAAUUAGCGACUGCUUUCUUCCCAAGUGUGGAAUACAACAUAUGAAAUGUGUGUGUGGGGGGUAUUAAGUAUGACCUAUCUGCACCAUCAGGCUUGUGGGCCACGGAGAGGAGGACCAAUCUAUUUCUGGACAUUUGAUCGUCAGAGAAGACAGCAGCUGUUCUCUUUAGAUACCUGCUCUACAACAAACCAAGUGGAAUCAUACAGCUAUCCAUACACGUACAAAAAACACGCCCCAGUCUCUUGACCCGAGAGAACCAGUAGAUUCGCUUUUCUUCUUAUGUGGAACCAACAAGGUCUGAACAUUUCCUCCCGGAGUGUUCUUUCAGUUAUUACUCAUUCACCAUCCCUACACUUGUAAGGGAAAAGCAGUUAGCCUGCUGGAGAAGAGGAAAGAUGGCUGGCAGGCCAAAGGCAAUCACACAGACCAGAGAGAAGAGAAUUAAGGGAGGAUGACAGAAGUGGGGAAAGGAAGAGAAAAAUGGUAUUUCCAGCACAUUAAGCACUUAGAGUAAAACUAGACAAAAGAGGCUGGGUGACUGACUGUUGAGUCACCGCAAGCCAAUGAUGACAUUUGGAGCGGAGGAGAAUUGAUCCGGUCCGAGGGGUUUCCCUCGAAAUUUACUGAAGACAAGAAGCCACUCAAGAAAACAAAACAUGUACACCAAGGGGGUCUGAAGGACACAAGUUGAAUUUUCACCCAAAUGAAAAGCUAAUCAACUUUAGUUCAUUGAGAAGUGCAUGCAGUAGGCGGGCACACCAGUUGCCCAUCCCAGAUGUAGAACAUAAACUAUUCUAGAAAUAUGGAAAGAUCUUGGACAAAUCAAGUUGGAAAAGGGACCACAUAUCCAACCAGACAGAAGGGGAGAUGGGUGCAUCAUCAGUAUCGGGCUUCACAAGUUAUCACCCAACAAACAUGGAGACACUCACCCACGCACAUGUGUGAUGUAAUCACAACUUUCAUGCAUACGCACAAAGAAGAAUCGGGGUCAUGGAUGCGAGCGUGCAGGGAAGAGGCUGGCAGCUUAGCAUCACUCGCUGCAGUGCUGAUAAAUGGGCACACUCCAGACUGCUUUCAUUGAUAAUGGAAAAGAGUAACUUAUGAGGAUUCUGGCCAGGUGUGUGAUGAACAAAAGAAAAAUAACAGAAGCAAGCAGACAAAAAACAGCCCUUGUGCCGUUCAAUCAUUUCCCAAUGUAUUCAUUAUGGUGUCAUCGGAAUACAUCCUUAUCAAAUCAUAAAGUUGGAAAGGACAAUUUACCCAAAAGUAACAAAACAAACUCCUCCGACUGAAUUCCGUGCAGUACCGUGUUGAUUUUAAAUGGGGCUCCUCGGGGCUUUUAAGGAAGGAUCAGCUCAAUAUGAAAAAGGGAAGGACAGCAACUAUUUAGAAAAGACCUGGGAGGCAUCUAAAAACAUUGCAAGGAAUUUGCAGUGUGUUUAAUUUCAUACAAAAGGCACCAACACACCCCUCCGGCCACCCGAAUGAAGCUGAAGAUCAUCAGAAUGCAAAAGUGUAGAUUUGAGGGGAAGGCACACAAAAGGAAACAAGUGAAGACAUAAUAGAAUGAGUUAUACAGAUGGGUUAUAAAUUGUGGCUUCAUACAGGUCUGCUGCAAAUGUUUUUACAAAGCACCCAUCCUCAACAUCACCUGCCGACUGCCACCGCCACAGUUCAUCGCCAAGGUCGUUUGAAUAUAUCCACAGUGCAUGAAAUCAGCUCUCAACAUUCUCUGGAUCUACAUCGGUCUAAUUCGACAUAUGAAAGACUUGUGUUGACUCAAAAUAUUCUGCAUUUAUGUUGUUGAUAUGUUAACCAUCUACUCCCGAGGGUUUGUGGAGUAAGCAUAUGUACGUAAGUAUGACACGAUGAAUCUGUGUUCUAACUUAAGUUGACCACAUAAAUCUCAUUUUAUUGCUUUUUCUCUGCUGAGCUGACAUAUUAUGUUGGAUGGCUCCCUUCGGAAUAAGAUUCAAUUCAGAAGACAUAUCUACUCACGUUCACAUUCACUGAAUGUACCAUCGCACCCACCGUGGCAACCAGCCCGGCCGGCAUUACAAAAUGUUUACCAACCUUUGAAUUGAGAUUAUAGAUAAUAAUCAAACAAUUAUGACAGAUCUAAGUGGUUGUAGACGGCAGAUGUGCAAUAAGCUGGCCAUAAUCAAUUAACUUUGGCAUAUCUACUGUAGACAUGUUUAUUGAAAGAGAUACGGCAAGAAGAUGUUGCGAAAGGGGAUAAUGAAUUGGGCGACCUCUAUUUCACUAUAGUGGUGUUCCUAUAGUAGUUACCUUGGCAACAACAGCACAGCAGCUUAAAAAGCCCAUAACACAUUUAUGAAUCAUAUUUCAAAAUGAACCUAUGUUUUAGUCAAGCAGAAAGACGCAGUUCGUAGCCUUUCAAUAAAAACAAAAUCCUGGCACGCCACAUUUGAAAUAUGGCCUCAGGCUGACAAUGCAAAAGCAUUGAAAUGAAGCCGGAAUCCUCCCAUGGAAAGUCCAUGCCCCUUUCAUUUAAUCCUUCCAUUGCCUCGGCUUUGUUCAUCAAGUUCAUAUGCAGGUUGGGUUAUCCCAAGGGUUGCCUCCUUAAGACCAAAUCCAGUAAGGGCUCAAGCAGUAACUGCAGAUUUGCUUUAAUGAUAGGUUAUAACACAGAGUGCUGGUAUUCUGCCAACCAGUUGUUUUUUUAGCAAGAUGACGGUUGUUGAUACAUGGUCAACAUUUAAUUUUCCCAUCUAGAAAAAAUUGAAAACAAAACAAAUGGGUGUUGGAUUCUCUCAAAAGACUAAAUGUCCCACGUAAUCCACAAAUAACAGCAGUGUUUCCAUACCCAUAAAUAGAGCCUCUGCACCACCAAUGGAACACAAUGCUAUUUUAAAUUGUUAUGGCAUGUGCUCAGAAACAAAAGAUUCUCACGUGUAACUCAUGAUUCUAGACAGACCAGUUGUGUCCCGUCUGCCUUUUUCUUACCUUACCUAAGUGAGGAACAAGAGUGUAAAAGAAGAAAUAUAUUGUACGCUGAUUAAAUAGCCUUUAUUAGUCAUACAAUUAGGAAAUCUGCAUUGUUUCAGAAGCAGUGGUGGUUGCAAGAAAAAGAUCUAAAAAGAUAUAGCAAGUAAGGAGGACACAAAUGUAGGCCACCCAUUCAUUCUAGACACAACAUCUAUGAACCUGUACACGGUGCAGAGCCAAUAAUGCAACAACCUUUGAAAUGAAUCUGAGAUGUGCUGAAUAGCCAAAGGGAGGGAACGAGCCCAAAUCAUUUUUAUUAUGUGUGAUAGCAAGUUAAAGACAUGA